rnacentral:lncRNA from 1 species
UUUUGUUAUGAUUGUUUUUUAUUUUAAUAUUUGUUCUCGUGUCUUUAAUCAAUUUUCAUGAAAAUUUAAUAACUAAUUAAAUUAUUUAUAACUAGAAAUUUAAACUAGGGACAAUAUGAAUAUUUUAAAAUUAUUGGAGUCAAUUUCAAAUUUUAUAAUUCAGAUGGGGCAUUUUUCAUAAAUAACAAAUAAAAUACAAUUUUUUAGUAUAAUUAUCAAAAAAAAUUUAAAAGCCAGCUGGGGCCUGUGCCCCACCUCGUCCCAUGCUGGCUCCGUCCCUGAGCCCAAGGGGCCUAGUUCGAGCCUGGAUAAGCUUAGGCUUCUAUUGAUUUUUUUAAUGAAGUUAAGAAAACAUUAGAUUAAAGAUAGAUAUCCAGUACAUAGGAUGUGUUUGGGAGUGAGGUGCUGUAGUUUUUAAGCUGCAGCUGCUGUGAAGUAAAAACUACAUCUGUGGCGUAGAAGUUGGCAAAAAAAAUUUAUUAAGCUGCCAAUGCCUAACUAUAAGUGUUACCAAACACCUUAGUAGAUAGGCUUUGACAGCCCAGCUACCUCACCACACUCUCAAACGGGCUAAUAGUAGUGCAAUAGUUAAAUACAUAAGAUCCUAGCAACCAACAUAAUAAACCACAAAUACUAAUAUAAAAAACAAACUAUUCUAAUAAUUAUAGACCAUCUUCUUCUUCAUCUUUCAAUUCCUCUCUAGUAAGUUUUUCUCAAGAACUCCACCUAACAAAAAAGAGUGUUAAAAUAAAUAGUAAAGAAAAAAACAAUUAGUAAUUAAUUUUGUAAAGAAUAUUUUUAUACCUUGACUGCUGGCAGCUCAUAACCAAUGCUGAGAGCACAUGAUUGCUUCCAACAUGUUUAGGUGCAAUCUCUACAAUGUGGACUAAAGAUUCUAACCCCUGUACUAAAAGUAGACUCCAAGGCAAGAGUUGUCACAGGCAUGGCUAAAAAAUCCCUGGCCAUCUCAACUAAAAUAGGAUAUUUGCUUUUGUUCAUCUUCUACACUGUAGAACACCAAAGUUCAAAGUAAUAGGUUGACAAUUUUAGCUUUUGUUCAUCCUCCAAAUACUUCUCAAAAUCGGACUUCGAACUAAUAGGUUGACAAUUUUAGGCUGCAUAUACAUCAAAAUCACCCAUAUCAUCUACAUCAGCAAAAUCAAUAUGAGAUUCAUUGGAAGAAACAAUAUUUAAGGUAGAAGACUCAUCGAGAACAUUGUUUCUCGCAGUUGCGGAUUUGGCCUCAUAAUUAUUAACCAUUUCAUCACAAAGCUCAUGCACUCUCUUAAGCUGAUUUUAAAGACCAACUAUAUAAAUCUUUGGAUAAUAGUAAUUAACCAACACCAUCUUGUAUCUCAAAUCAAGAAUAAUGACUAUGAUCAAUACCCUACUAAUCUCUUCCCAAUACUUCAAAAAAAAAUUCAAUCAUGUUAUAUUGCAAGAACUUAUGAUGUUUGCCGCCCCUUCAAUAAAAUCCUCAUUUUACAAACCACUGAAAAAAAAAAAGAUUAGCUGUGGGGGUAUGUUAUACCCAAAAAGAUUUCAAUCAAGCUAGAAAAUCACCUCAAAUAAUCCAACAUUUGCUUAGAGAACUCCCAUUUCUCACUACUAAACAAACACUCAUAUUGUGGCUCAAGUGCCUGCAGUUGAGAAAAAAUAUAUUUGUACUUCACUGCAAGUUCAACCAUAAUGAAAGUAGAAUUCCAUUUAGUUGGACAAUCAAACCCAACUUUUUCACAUUUGUUAUCUGUAAUUAACGUGCAACCAACUCAAACUUUUCUAGUUGUUUUGGCGACGAAUUCCAAGAAGAUACAUUGUCUCUAACAUGUGCAAUAUGACUCUCAAUCAUUGACAAUCUAUCCUUCACAAUUAGAUUCAAAUAUGAGCCACACACCAUACAUCAAAAAAUUUAUCACACAAUAUCAUUGUCUCAAUUGACAACAAUCCCUUCAAUCUAUCAACCAUUGCUUCAUUAAUGGAACAAUUAUCCAAAUUAACCUUGGAUAUCCUUCACUCCAAAUUCCAAUCCAACAAAUACUUUACUAAAAUUUGGGGAAAGACAAUCAGUUAUCUGUGGGGCUUGCACAUAUAUAAACAUAUUCAUUAAAAAAUAAUAAAAAUUAUGCAAAGUUAUAAAAGAAUUAUUAAAUAAAAAAUUUAAUAUUUAGUAAAGUAACUAUCUCACGAUGUUUUGAAUCCAGCUCACGUAUACUAGUUCGCAUGUCCGUAAUAAGCCACCCUACUAUUAUUAAUCUCUAAUCAAUUCAUUGCCUUCGCCUUUUCUGCAUUAUAUAAAUUAAAUAUCUCAUUCUUUAAGGUGUUUCUAAACAUAGGUUUCACCAAUGGGUUAUAAUAAUCAACAAUAUCUCUCAAUUGCUCAUACUUGACAAACCUAAAAGGAAGCUCAUGCUUUACAACCACUGGCAGCCAAUGGAUCAAAUAAUUAAAUUUCAAGCACGCCAUUUUCAGUCCUCGCCAAGAGUUGCUUAUUCAGAAAAACCUCUUUCAAUGUUGGCUAAUUAAAACUGUGAAGAAUUUGUCUAGCAAGUUUAUUCAAGUUACUGGUUCCUAAUCCACAACUAAGGACUGGUCCACAAUAAUUGUAUUUUUUUCUUCUCUACCCCACUGACGUUUAUCUUUGUGAAAUAAUCCCCAAAAUUUAAGACAGCCCUCUGUUUUUUUUUUUCAACUACGUAUUCAUUCUUGAACAUUUUCUAUCUUAGCAAUCAGAGAUAAAUCAGAAGCAUUUUCCAUUAUAAUCCUACGCAAAAUUAAAGCAUGUAAAAUAUUAAGCUAAUAUAAUUACACCACCAAACCUAUAGACUACCAUCAGCUUGCUGUAAAUUCCAAUAUCAUAAAAAAAAAAUAAUUAACCGAAAUGCUAAGAGGGUAAGAAAUCCAUCGUUCUUGAAAAUGUUACAUGUUUUGAUAAUUCUUUGACAUAUAUUCAGAAUUAACCAUACAACGACCAAAAUUGCAGAAUUUCCACAAGUUGAAAAAAAAAAUCAAAGCUUACUUAAGGUCGAGUGGGUGGUGUUAGGUUUGCUGCUACCGCGUCGUAUGGGUGCAAGCUGCCAGUGCUUGGUUUGUUGCUACGUCGUGUGGCUGCUACAUUUUCGUGCUGGGUUCGCUGGUUGGUGGUGCUAGCUGCUAGGUUCAAUCGAUGAUGGAUGGAUCGAUCAUUGAUGGCUUCAAAUGUUGGGUGGGUGUUGGUUUGGUUGUUUCUUUUUUGCUUUUGCUUGUGCUGUUGUUUAAUUUACGGAUUGUUGGGGCUUGUGAUUUCAUGAUUUGUGAAAUUUGGUUGGUUUUUU